ACAAUUCCCCACUGUCAAAGGCUCAUUCCACAAUUUUGUGGGAUUAGGGACAAUGGGAUGUCAUCUCUCAGCUGGCUACUUCUUGCCAAACAGGGUCAACGUGGGGCAACUGUGGAAUGAAACUUUUUGACCUGGCAGUGAGCUGAUGUUCAGGCCCUUGUUCCUUCCAGGUCUUUAGGAGGACCUAUUUCUUAGUUGAAAAGGAUGCAGGUCCAUAUCCAUGGGAAAAAUGAUUCUGCUGGAAGCAAACUUAUAAACAAAAGUUAGUAUAAUAUCUAGCGUCUUAACAUAUUUGGCAAUUGUUAAAUCUCUUAGAGCAUCGGUUGGUUCUCACACCAGGGCAGAAACCUGGAAUGGCCUACCAUAUCAGCAAGAAAAUCAAUACAUUUGCUCCCUACUGUCAAUUGUAUCCAGGGCUCCUGUGGGUAUAUGAUAGAUCAGCUCAACAUACAUAUUUAAUGGGUUACAGAAGUAGCUAUAAAUAUUUAUGAAGGUGGUCUUGACACAUGUGUACUGAACAAACAUGCAUGUAACACACGUUUAUCUUGGGGUGGAGACUUAACCUUUGCCGGGCAUGGCCUUAGGUCCUGUUUAUGAUUUGGUAUCUUAUAGCCACAGGCUGUGCUGCCAGUCUCAUGAUCUCUAUUUUAACAUUAAUGCUGUUGUUGUGUCUAAACUAUAAAGGGAGGGGGGAUAACAAGGCAUUCCCAACCUCGUUUCUCGUGGCUCACUUUCAAGCAGUGGGCAGCUGAAUAUGGGCUCAGUUACACCAAC
rnacentral:lncRNA from 1 species